AUUGAACGCUGGCGGCAGGCCUAACACAUGCAAGUCGAGCGAGCGGCGGACGGGUGAGUAAUGUCUGGGAAACUGCCUGAUGGAGGGGGAUAACUACUGGAAACGGUAGCUAAUACCGCAUCCCAUCAGAUGUGCCCAGAUGGGCUUAGCUAGUAGGUGGGGUAACGGCGCACCUAGGCGACGAUCCCUACCUGGUCUGAGAGGCGGACCAGCCAAACUGGAACUGAGACACGGUCAAGACUCCUACGGAAGGCAGCAGUGGGGAAUAUGGCACAAUGGGCGCAAGCCUGAUGCAGCCAUGCCGCGGGUGUGAAGAAGGCCUUCGGUUUGUAAAGCACGUUCAGCGGGGAGGCGUUACCCGCAGAAGAAGGAACGGCUAACUCCGUGCCAGCAGCCGCGGUAAUAC
rnacentral:rRNA from 1 species